rnacentral:rRNA from 1 species
CCUACGGGAGGCAGCAGUGGGGAAUAUUGGGCAAUGGGCGCAAGCCUGACCCAGCAACGCCGCGUGAAGGAAGAAGGCUUUCGGGUUGUAAACUUCUUUUCUCAGGGACGAAGCAAGUGACGGUACCUGAGGAAUAAGCCACGGCUAACUACGUGCCAGCAGCCGCGGUAAUACGUAGGUGGCAAGCGUUAUCCGGAUUUACUGGGUGUAAAGGGCGUGGAGGCGGGAAAGCAAGUCAGAUGUGAAAACCAUGGGCUCAACCUGUGGCCUGCAUUUGAAACUGUUUUUCUUGAGUACUGGGGAGGCAGACGGAAUUCCUAGUGUAGCGGUGAAAUGCGUAGAUAUUAGGAGGAACACCAGUGGCGAAGGCGGUCUGCUGGACAGCAACUGACGCUGAGGCGCGAAAGCGUGGGGAGCAAACAGGAUUAGAUACCCUAGUAGUC